rnacentral:tRNA from 2 species
GGACAGGUGACCGAGCGGCUGAUGGUGCAGCAUUGGAAAUGCUGUGUGCGCCUUGUGCGUACCGCGGGUUCGAAUCCCGCUCUGUCCG